GACGAACGCUGGCGGCGUGCUUAACACAUGCAAGUCGAACGAUGAAGCCUAGCUUGCUGGGUGGAUUAGUGGCGAACGGGUGAGUAACACGUGAGUAACCUGCCCUUGAUUCUGGGAUAAGCGCUGGAAACGGCGUCUAAUACUGGAUAUGACCUUCGGAGGCAUCUUCGGGGGUGGAAAGUUUUUCGAUCAAGGAUGGACUCGCGGCCUAUCAGCUUGUUGGUGAGGUAAUGGCUUACCAAGGCGACGACGGGUAGCCGGCCUGAGAGGGUGACCGGCCACACUGGGACUGAGACACGGCCCAGACUCCUACGGGAGGCAGCAGUGGGGAAUAUUGCACAAUGGGCGGAAGCCUGAUGCAGCAACGUCGCGUGGGGGAUGACGGCCUUCGGGUUGUAAACCUCUUUUGUCCAGGAAGAAGCCUUCGGGUGACGGUACUGGGAGAAAAAGCACCGGCUAACUACGUGCCAGCCGCCGCCGUAAAAC
rnacentral:rRNA from 1 species